CCCCUCUCAGAGUCGCACCUGGAGAGUUUUCAGCACUCUUCCAGUUUCGACUAUGUGAGGGAAAGUCAAGCAGAGGCAUACUUAUUCCAUUCCUAGCUUGGGCAGUGGCUAGCGAGUGGAAGGCAAUCUGCUACAAGC